rnacentral:rRNA from 1 species
GAUGAACGCUAGCGGCAGGCUUAACACAUGCAAGUCGAGGGGCAGCAUAAAACAUUGCUUGCAAUGUUUGGUGGCGACCGGCGCACGGGUGCGUAACGCGUAUGCAACCUACCUAUAACAGGGGGAUAACACUGAGAAAUUGGUACUAAUACCCCGUAACAUCAGAGGAGGCAUCUUGAGGUAAUUAAAUCUUCGGAGGUAUAAGAUGGGCAUGCGUAGCAUUAGCUAGAUGGUGCGGUAACGGCGUACCAUGGCGACGAUGCUUAGGGGUUCUGAGAGGAAGGUCCCCCACACUGGUACUGAGAUACGGACCAGACUCCUACGGGAGGCAGCAGUGAGGAAUAUUGGUCCAAUGGUCGGAAGACUGAACCAG